rnacentral:rRNA from 1 species
CCUACGGGGGGCUGCAGUGGGGAAUAUUGCACAAUGGGGGAAACUCUGAUGCAGCGACGCCGCGUGAGUGAUGAAGGAUUUCGGUACGUAAAGCUCUAUCAGCAGGGAAGAAAAUGACGGUACCUGACUAAGAAGCCCCGUCUCAAUAUGUUCCAGCAGCCGCGGUAAUACGUCGGUGGCCAGCGUUAUGCGGAUUUACUGGGGGUAAAGGGAGCGUAGGCGGGUGAGCAAGCCAGAUGUGAAAGCCCGGGGCUCAACCCCGGGACUGCAUUGGAAACUGUGUAGCUGGAGGGUCGGAGAGGCGGGCGGAAUUCCAAGUGUAGCGGUGAAAUGCGUAGAUAUUAGGAGGAACACCAGUGGCGAAGGCGGCCUUCUGGACGGUAACUGACGCUGAGGCUCGAAAGCGUGGGGAGCAAACAGGAUUAGAUACCCUGGUAGUC